UCAUGAAGCCGGAAUUGCUAGUAAUGGCAGGUCAGCAUACUGCCGUGAAUACGUUCCCGGGCCUUGUACACACCGCCCGUCACACCAUGAGAGUUGGGAAUACCCGAAGCCUGUGAGCUAACGUUAAGAGGCAGCAGUCGAAGGUAGAAUCAAUGAUUGGGGUGAAGUCGUAACAAGGUACC
rnacentral:rRNA from 1 species